GGAAUAUUCGUCAAUGGGGGAAACCCUGAACGAGCAAUGCCGCGUGAACGAUGACGGCCCUAUGGGUUGUAAAGUUCUGUUGCGUGGGACGAACGAUUAGGAUAGGAAAUGAUCUUAGUGUGACGGUACCACGCCAGAAAGCUCCGGCUAACUACGUGCCAGCAGCCGCGGUAAUACGUAGGGAGCGAGCGUUAUCCGGAUUUAUUGGGCGUAAAGGGUGCGUAGGCGGUUUGUUAAGUAUGAAAUUAAAGCCUGGAGCUUAACUCCAGUUCGUUUCAUAAACUGGCAGACUAGAGUAUGGUAGAGGUAAACGGAAUUUCUAGUGUAGCGGUAAAAUGCGUAGAUAUUAGAAAGAACACCAGUGGCGUAGGCGGUUUACUGGGCCAAAACUGACGCUGAGGCACGAAAGCGUGGGGAGCAAAUA
rnacentral:rRNA from 1 species